GAUGAACGCUGGCGGCGUGCCUAAUACAUGCAAGUCGAGCGAACGGACGAGAAGCUUGCUUCUCUGAUGUUAGCGGCGGACGGGUGAGUAACACGUGGAUAACCUACCUAUAAGACUGGGAUAACUUCGGGAAACCGGAGCUAAUACCGGAUGAUAUUUUGAACCGCAUGGUUCAAAAGUGAAAGACGGUCUUGCUGUCACUUAUAGAUGGAUCCGCGCUGCAUUAGCUAGUUGGUAAGGUAACGGCUUACCAAGGCAACGAUGCAUAGCCGACCUGAGAGGGUGAUCGGCCACACUGGAACUGAGACACGGUCCAGACUCCUACGGGAGGCAGCAGUAGGGAAUCUUCCGCAAAGGGCGAAAGCCUGACGGAGCAACGCCGCGUGAGUGAUGAAGGUCUUCGGAUCGUAAAACUCUGUUAUUAGGGAAGAACAUAUGUGUAAGUAACUGUGCACAUCUUGACGGUACCUAAUCAGAAAGCCACGACUAACUACGUG
rnacentral:rRNA from 1 species